GCGCCCGUAGCUCAGCAGGAUAGAGCGGGGGCCUCCUAAGCCCCAGGCCGCCGGUUCGAUUCCGGCCGGGCGCGCCA
rnacentral:tRNA from 2 species